GCUAUUUUAAAAAUUUUAAUGGUGUGAAUAACUAUUUGAUUAGCUGGCUUAUAUGAAUGAACAUUUUAGUUUUAUAAAUGCUUAGACAUUUAUUUAGUCUUAGAGUAACAGUUUUCCAACAAAGAAAUGUAUUCAAGAUGAUCAUUUUAUGCUUAAUCUAUGAAAGGAAAUACUUGUAGAUCCAAAUUAACCUGUUGAUUGCUCAAACUUAUUUAUAUCCAUGUUUUAGGACUUAAAGCUUUCUGUGAUAUUAAUAGGCAUCUAUUUAUUGUUUUACAUGUAUUACACAUAUU
rnacentral:lncRNA from 1 species